rnacentral:rRNA from 1 species
AGUGAACGCUGGCGGUAGGCCUAACACAUGCAAGUCGAACGGCAGCACAGGAGAGCUUGCUCUCUGGGUGGCGAGUGGCGGACGGGUGAGGAAUACAUCGGAAUCUACUCUGUCGUGGGGGAUAACGUAGGGAAAUUUACGCUAAUACCGCAUACGACCUACGGGUGAAAGCAGGGGACCUUCGGGCCUUGCGCGAUUGAAUGAGCCGAUGUCGGAUUAGCGAGUUGGCGGGGUAAAGGCCCACCAAGGCGACGAUCCGUAGCUGGUCUGAGAGGAUGAUCAGCCACACUGGAACUGAGACACGGUCCAGACUCCUACGGGAGGCAGCAGUGGGGAAUAUUGGACAAUGGGCGCAAGCCUGAUCCAGCCAUACCGCGUGGGUGAAGAAGGCCUUCGGGUUGUAAAGCCCUUUUGUUGGGAAAGAAAUCCAGCUGGCUAAUACCCGGUUGGGAUGACGGUACCCAAAGAAUAAGCACCGGCUAACUUCGUGCCAGCCGCCGCGGUAA